AAGCUUGCCUAUGUAUGUCGCUGACGUUGAUCAGCAUCAUGCCAGCAACCUGGGUCAAGUCGGUUGCGCCGCGGUUCCACCGUGUUGAUCCACCCAGUCCGCUUCGCAUCACCUGCGGACGAGCGUCCUGCGACGUCGAUGC
rnacentral:ncRNA from 1 species